rnacentral:tRNA from 1 species
GCAUGCGUGGCUGAGAUGGCAAAAGCGCUUGACUGUAAAUCAAGUGCCCUCGAGCGGGCUUCGCAGGUUCGACUCCUGCUGCAUGCA